rnacentral:rRNA from 1 species
AGUGAACGCUGGCGGUAGGCCUAACACAUGCAAGUCGAACGGCAGCACAGUAAGAGCUUGCUCUUACGGGUGGCGAGUGGCGGACGGGUGAGGAAUACAUCGGAAUCUACUUUUUCGUGGGGGUUAACGUAGGGAAACUUACGCUAAUACCGCAUACGACCUACGGGUGAAAGCAGGGGAUCUUCGGACCUUGCGCGAUUGAAUGAGCCGAUGUCGGAUUAGCUAGUUGGCGGGGUAAAGGCCCACCAAGGCGACGAUCCGUAGCUGGUCUGAGAGGAUGAUCAGCCACACUGGAAGUGAGACACGGUCCAGACUCCUACGGGAGGCAGCAGUGGGGAAUAUUGGACAAUGGGCGCAAGCCUGAUCCAGCCAUACCGCGUGGGUGAAGAAGGCCUUCGGGUUGUAAAGCCCUUUUGUUGGGAAAGAAAAGCAGCAGGUUAAUACCCCGCUGUUCUGACGGUACCCAAAGAAUAAGCACCGGCUAACUUCGUG